ACUUUACCCGAGUUUCCCCCAAUCUCCCUCAUUUCCCUCUUUUCCCUUCUCCCCUCCCGAUCUUCCUCUCUCUGUCGCAGCCCUAGCCCCUCUUUGUCGCCGUUCGUCACAACCCCUUGCCCCUCGCCAUUCGCAGAUCAUCGCAGCCCCUCACCCUUCAAAACGCAGUUCCAACGGCGCAGAACCCAUCACCACCCCGCAAAGCUCUCGAUCCCCCAAACCCUCCCAAACUCCCUCACUUCCAUGAGAAGCUCUGACACCUUCGACGCCGCCUACAACGGCCUCAACCGUUCAUCCACCACCGCAGCCUCCAUCUCCACUAGAACCUCUCUCUCCAGCCUCCGCAGCUCCUUGCCCCAACCACCGCUCAUCUUCGAUUUCUUCGAGAUUUGCUCUACCACCAACAACUUGCUAGGUUUGGGUAAUGUUCUAUUUACAGACGACAUGUUGCCGAAAAUUUGUUAAUUUUUUUCCAAAAUAAUCAAAGUUAUUUACCCUAUUUGUGAGAAUGAUUAUAAUGUGCUGAAUGUUAAAACAUUUUUUAAAGUAUACGUAAAGUUUAAAUAAAUUUUGAACUUCAUCUCUAAA